CAACGGAUCACACGAGGGAGGUCAUUGAAAAUGAGGGGCUUGAGUGGGGAAGAAGAAAGGUGGAUUCCAAGGGUGGCGGUGAAAUGCGUAGAGAUUUGGAGGAACACCAGUGGCGAGGGCGACUUUCUGGUCUGUAACUGACGGUGAGGCGCGAAAGCGUGGGGAGCAAACAAGAUUAGAUACCCUGGUAGUCCACGCCGUAAACGAUGAGUGCUAAGUGUUAGGGGGUUUCCGCCCCUUAGUGCUGCAGCUAACGCAUUAAGCACUCCGCCUGGGGAGUACGGUCGCAAGACUGAAACUCAAAGGAAUUGACGGGGGCCCGCACAAGCGGUGGAGCAUGUGGUUUAAUUCGAAGCAACGCGAAGAACCUUACCAGGUCUUGACAUCCCGUUGACCACUGUAGAGAUAUAGUUUCCCCUUCGGGGGCAACGGUGACAGGUGGUGCAUGGUUGUCGUCAGCUCGUGUCGUGAGAUGUUGGGUUAAGUCCCGCAACGAGCGCAACCCUUGAUCUUAGUUGCCAUCAUUUAGUUGGGCACUCUAAGGUGACUGCCGGUGACAAACCGGAGGAAGGUGGGGAUGACGUCAAAUCAUCAUGCCCCUUAUGACUUGGGCUACACACGUGCUACAAUGGACGAUACAAACGGUUGCCAACUCGCGAGAGGGAGCUAAUCCGAUAAAGUCGUUCUCAGUUCGGAUUGUAGGCUGCAACUCGCCUACAUGAAGCCGGAAUCGCUAGUAAUCGAGGAUCAGCAUGUUGCGGUGAAUAGAUUCCCGGGCCUUGUACACACCGCUCGUCUUACCACAAGAGUUUGUAACAGCCCGAAGUAGGUGACGGUAACCUAUGGAGCCAGCCGCCGAAGGUGGAUGAUGGGU
rnacentral:rRNA from 1 species